AUUGAACGCUGGCGGCAUGCUUUACACAUGCAAGUCGAACGGUAACAGGGAGCUUGCUCCGCUGACGAGUGGCGAACGGGUGAGUAAUGCGUCGGAACGUGCCGAGUAGUGGGGGAUAACGCAGCGAAAGGUGUGCUAAUACCGGAUACGUACUGAGGUAGAACGGGGGGGACCUUCGGGCCUCACGCUGUUCGUGCGGCCGACGUCUGAUUAGCUAGUUGGUGGGGUAAAGGCUCACCAAGGCGACGAUGAGUAGCGGGUCUGAGAGGAUGAGCCGCCACACUGGGACUGAGACACGGCCCAGACUCCUACGGGAGGCAGCAGUGGGGAAUUUUGGACAAUGGGCGCAAGCCUGAUCCAGCCAUGCCGCGUGUCUGAAGAAGGCCUUCGGGUUGUAAAGGACUUUUGUCCGGGAGCAAAUGCCUGGUGUUAAUAGCACUGGGAGCUGAGAGUACCGGAAGAAUAAGCACCGGCUAACUACGUGCCAGCCGCCGCCGUAAUAC
rnacentral:rRNA from 1 species